GACGAACGCUGGCGGCGUGCUUAACACAUGCAAGUCGAACGGUGAAGCGCCUUCCUUGUUGGUGGGUGGGGAGGAGUGGCGAACGGGUGAGUAACACGUGAGUAACCUGCCCCCUCCUUCUGGAUAACCGCAAGAAAGUGCUGCUAAUACGGGAUAUACUGGGCCUGUCGCAUGAUGGGUCUGGGAAAGAUAUGGUGUCGGUGGGGGAUGGGGCCGCGGCCUAUCAGCUUGUUGGUGGGGUGAGGGCCUACCAAGGCGGUGACGGGUAGCCGGCCUGAGAGGGUCGGCCGUCACACUGCGGCUGAGCCGCCGACCCGCCUCCUGCGGGAGGCAGCAGUGGGGAUUAUGGCACGAUGGGCGCAAGCAUGGUGCAGCGCCGCCGCGUGAGUGAUGGAGGCCUGCGGGUUGUGAACUUCUUUCGCCAGUGAAGCAGGCCUGCCUCGUUUGUGGGUGGGUUGACGGUAGCUGGAUAAGAAGCGCCGGCUAACUACGUG
rnacentral:rRNA from 1 species